rnacentral:rRNA from 1 species
AACGAACGCUGGCGGCAUGCCUAACACAUGCAAGUCGAACGGUACCUUCGUGUCUGGUGUCGCCCGGGUGCGUACCGCGUGGGAACCUGCCCUUAGGUUCGGCAUAACUCCCCGAAAGGGGUGCUAAUCCCGGAUAAUGUCUUCGGACCAAAGCUUUAUCGCAUUUGGAUGGGGCCGCGUUGGAUUGGCUGGUUGGUAGGGUACAAGCCUACCAAGGCGAGGAUCCGUAGCUGGUCGGCGAGGAUGAACAGCCACACUGGGACUGAGACACGGCCCCGACUGGUAGGAGAAGCAGCGGAGGGGAAUAUUGGAGAAUGAGCCAGAGGCUGAUACAGCAAGGGCGCGUGAGUGAUGAAGGGGUUAGGGUUGUAAAGCUGUUGUACCCGGGAUGAUAAUGACGGUACCGGGAGAAUAAGCACCGGCUAACUACGUG